rnacentral:lncRNA from 1 species
AGGUGGUAAAUCCUGGCCAAGGCUCCUCGAGCCAGGCCGGCUGGCAGUGCUGCAUCGUGCUGAAGGCGCUGAGGUUGCAGCGGAUGCAUUCCGGGCCAGUGAUAUGAUGUGGACAGGAAAAGUCUUUUGUUCUGGGAAAAUGGAGGACUGAAACCUCUUCAUGUCUUUUUCCCAGGCCCUGAUUUAGGAAGACCAAAACAGGGACUUCUACAGUAGCAGCUUAAUCAGCAGAUGCUGGGUGGUCGCCUCUGCACAUGGCCUGGGGGGCGGGGCGCCUUACCGCGUCACACUGGGUGGAUGGGCCUGUGUGUGGCCUCUCUCCAGCUGUGGCUGACAGUACUCACUCAGCCCAGGCUUCCAGGCCCUCCUGGGCCCUCCUAUCCACUGAAGGAAAUGGGAGAUGAGUGGGUAAUGGAAAAGCCUUUGGAGUCAGAUGUAAAUCCAUGACUUGACCACUUAUUGCUGUGAGACCCUGGACAGCUGGAUAUAGAGUUCUUGUUCUAGCAUCCGCCCUGGGAAUCCCCGGAACUGGGCCUCUUACCGACACCAUUGCCUGUAAUCCACAAACCUAGGAGUUACUCCAGUUACUGUCCUACUGAAGGACCCCCAUCCCAUCUGGGCUACUAUAACCACAUGGACCAUCCCUUGCUUCAAUCAUAGAAUUCUUUCUUCAGAUCAAAGUAUAUUCAGACACUCGAUACAGUAACAAAAGCAAGCUAUCCUGGAAGGAAGAAGGAAUCAGGAGGCAGAGCACAUGGUUAAAGCAUGAGAUGUGAAACCAGGAAGAACCAGGUCUGAACCUUAGCUCCACCAGUGGUAGCUUCAAACCUUGGUCCUUUCUGAGCCUGCUUCUUCAACCGUAAGGUGUGACUACACUGAGCAGUAACAGCAAAACCUGAAAGAGAAUGGAUACAGGUGUUCAUUUCAGAUGGUACAAGUUUAACAAAGUACAAGAGCAACUUAAGGGAACGCUACACUUCCUUAGAAAUUAAGAGUGUGUGCUACACUGCUUUACCAGAGCAAGGCCAAAAGCAGCUUCAAUUAUGGUACAACUGUGUGAAGACACAAUGCAAAACCACUCAAGAAUGCUCACUCAAAUGGAUUUUUACCAUGGAACUCGGAAACGGGACCCAGAAAGUUGUUUUCUCAAGUGGAUGGAACAACACAAGCAAUCACUGCAGUUUACUGACAAGAUCAAAGAUGGUAGUAUAUCUCUGGUUUAUAGAAGAAAUUUACAUUUCUCUAAAAGCUUUUGAUAAACUUAACAAUUCAAAAGAAA